rnacentral:tRNA from 1 species
GCACCCAUAGCUCAAUUGGAUAGAGUAUCUGACUUCGAAUCAGACGGUUGCAGGUUCGACUCCUGCUGGGUGCAUCA